rnacentral:siRNA from 1 species
GGGGUGAAUGGAGGAUGAGCA